UAAGCACAUCAUCAUCAUUUUAUCAUGAUAUUUUAACUCAUAUAGACAUACUAUUUAAUAUUCUUAUGUAUUAAUUUCAUGUUAUAUUACAUUUCAUGAAUUGUAUUUAUUUUUAGACUUAAUUGUAAAUUAUAUCAUAUUUAUGAUAUUUGAUGCUAAUAUUUCAAUAUAUUUUUUUAUAUGCAUUAAAAGAUCAUAGAUCCAAUAGAUAGACCUAAGUGAGCUCAAAUCUGAGUUGAAAUGAGGAGAUCAACCUUUGAACAAUCUGGACCGUUCAUUCAAGAUCUGAGGAGAUCUGAGCUAUCCAUUAGAGAUCUGGUCCAUACAAGUCAAGGGAGAGUAGAUCCUAGACAUAGAUCAAGAUCUGGAGCUUUAGAUCAAAUUUAGAGCAAUUGCAACCAUUGGAUCAUAUCUGGAGUAAUUUCAUCCAUUGAUUCAGAUCUGAGAUCUGAUUUAAAAGAGAAGCUACAGUACAUAGAGGGGAUUGUGAUUUCGGCUACAAGGAAGAUGUGCGCGAGAGCAAAGGAAGGCGAUUCCGAUCAUCUUCACCGCCACCGACUGCCGAAACUCCACCCACUGUCGAGGGUUAAGAGUUUGUCCUUCACCAUCCACUCCAUCCAGCUUCAGUGAUCUAUUUUCAGCCAUCCGCAAACACCAUCACUCGCCAAGCGUCGAUCAUCUUCCGCCAUCAUUCACCGUGAGAGAACGGGGUUUUCCUUUCAUCUCCGACCUUUCUCACUACUGCGACCUUCUCCUUCUUCAUUGUUUCCAUUUCCUACGCACAUCCUCUGCACAUCAGAUCGUCGCCGAUGCCCUCUAUUCCUCCAGCAGUGCUUCUCUAUACAAAUUCAAUCUGGCACAAGCUUGGGAUUCCCUAGCUUUUUGGGAAGAAGUGGACUUAUCUAAGGAGGUUUAACUAGCUUGGAAUUUGGACUUAAUCCGUACUCAAAUACGGAUGAACCAAGACAAUUGAACCAAAAUCAAGUAUUUCGAGCUUGCUGGACUAGUGAGCCUCCGUUGAGCUCAAAUCAGGCGAAACACUGUUGAACCUAACUAGAUCCAACUACUGUGCUUGAACCGGUUUUAUUCAGCGUUUAAAAACAUUGAAUUGGCAUGAUGAAUAGCCACUAUUCACCGUGCAUUUCUUCUCAAGAGCAAGAUCGCGGAGCCCCGUUACACUUUCAGAUUUGAGAUUCGAAGUUCUUCAUCUCCGGCGAAUGUUGAGGUACCAGUGACCAUCGUCCAAAGGUAGAGCGUAUCAGGCGGAGUUUCCCUGAUCGCGAUUCUAUUUCUCGCGUUUUCUUGUUGCGUUGAAGAUUAUUGGGAGUUUCCUUGAUCUUCGGUUCCCAUCUACAACGGAGGUCUCAGCGGAGUUUUCUUGGUGUCUUCGAUUCCAUUGCGUCCAUCAUUUCUUCUGUGUCACCUGAGUCGAUCGGAUCAAUCGAUCUGAUUUCAUUGUGCGUUGGAUAUGUCAUCCAAUCGCGAGCUCGAAGGGAGGUACCCAGGAGCAGUCAACAUCGAUUGAACAAUCUGAGAGUUUAGAUUCUCUUCGGAGAUUGCUUGAAGGGAGGUUCCUAAGAGCAUUUCUAUGUUACAACAAAGAGGAGUUUUCCCUUGGAUUCGAGUUGUGGAACGUUUUCUGGAUUUAUGACUUCAAUUUGGAUUGCUCAGAUCUAACGAUCUGAUUUCUCACCUUGCAAUUAUGUUCUUGAUUGCACUUUUACAUUCGAUUCCUUAUUUCAACAAUUGAAUCUUUGUUUCGAAA